ACAGAUUUUGUGUGUCAUGUCAGACUGGGCUUCAACCCAGACUAUCGACUAAACAAAACACUUGCUGCACAGCGUUUGUACAUCAUACAUCCCUUGCUCCAAAAUAUUUAUAGAACAGAUCUAUGCAGUGGAAGGCUACAAGUUCUUGACACAAUUAGUUUUCAGCUGCUCCAUUUAAUACCACCUGCUCACUCACAGCUAAUUCCUAUGGACGUUCCCUAGAAUACCUAAGAAGGUAAGGAUAAGAACUUCUCUAACACACCUGUAACUCUGAGAAAGUUUCAGGAAUUUAUGAAGAUUAGAAAAGCUAUCUCAAGUACUCCAAGGAGAGAUGAGAUACUUAGAUACUCCAUUUUUUACUUUCUGCUUGACUAAUCUGAAAGCUAUAUUAAAAACAAAAUUAUCUUCAUUCUCCUAUGACUAUAAAAGGCUGAGGACCACAAAAAUCUCUGUGAUUAUUUGGUAUAUAAGCAGUUUAGUCUCUUCAUCACAAACCCAAGGCUUGAGAAAAAAACCUAAAUAAACAAGGUCUGGUAGUUGCAGUUGUGUCUAGUGUCAUUUGGGGAAGAUAAAUCCUACAAGAGAGAUGCAUGAGAACUGCAAGAUCAAUCGAUGUCAUUAAGAUAUUAUGCGGUAAACUAAAUACCACAAGAGCCUACUUCACAAUCGUGGUGCAACACCUGGAAUAAAGGGAAGACAGACAGAAUCACAGUGUGAAACAAUAAAUUCAACCUUGCAACAGCUUGAUUUGGCCAGCCAAAAGCACCUCAGCACAGAGGGAAUCGAUACAGUUUAGUGUCUCUAUCUCCAUAGUUUCUGUUGUGCUUCAAUGACAUUUAUUAUUACUUCUGUAAUUGCUUGCCCUCCAGCAGGAGAGCGUCACUAGUAAACAAACACAGCUGUACACAGCACUGCAGCGGUGCCCCACCACUCCUCUCAACACAGCUGUGGUAUUGCUGUCGACAUCCGCUUUCUGAAGUCUUCUGUGCAUCAAACUAACCAAAGCAUAGUUUGAAUUUUCAUUUACACAAUGGUAUUUACCCCAAGGUGUUCCUGAAGAUCACAGAAAUUAAAUGCACACAAAUCUGCCAGUCAAAUUCCCUUUUAGGAAAUAAUGCUGCAAAAUGAAAUUUUGAAAAGGAUAAUAAAUGCAUCAGAUGUCAUUCUGUGAGUAAGAAAUAGAAACUUGGAGUUAACACCAAAGCGAUGAUGACAAGAAUUUUCAGUGUGGGAAAGGCUCAAAGCCUCCCUCCCUGGGAUGCCUCUCCCCCCAGCAGGCAUCAUUUCCACACAGGAUCCCAAAGCCUAUCCAGACCCAAAAACUUACAUAAGAUUUGUUCUUUUGCUAGUGUCUCUUUUUAAAGUAUCAAUACGAUAAAUGAAGAGAUAUGUGUAUGACUAUUGUGGUAACAACACAAAUGAAAAGCAGAAAAAAACAUACAAAUAUUUGCUUCGUGAUUUCUACUCUCAACAAGAAAUUCAUAUUGUCCAUGUGAUUCCCCUGUAAGAAAUAUCUUUUGCAGAUUUCAAUUUUUAGAUCAACUUUGCUUAUUCAUUACUUUUUUUCAAAAAGUGAAAUGAAGAUCCAUUAAUGUCAGAACUGGAUUUAAAUUUUAAACUAGUUCUAUCCCAGUGGCACUCUGUUAUCUUAACAUGUAGUUAAGCUACAUAUGAUUUUAUAAAAUCACAAGGUAAUUUUAGAAUCAUAGAAUCAUUUCCAAUAAUUUAGAUAAAAAGAAAAUCAGGGAUGCACAAGUAUUUCACUGUACUGGGGCUUUCACUGGUGUGGAGACUUCAGGAAUAAACACAGCUACUUUUAGGUAUAAAUGUUGAUUCUUCACUCCAUUACACUAGUUAAGUGACAUUGCUUACCACAGAGUAAGCAUCAAAAAGGGAACUUGGUAGCCAAUUUUACAUUAUACAAAGCCUCUUAAUUAAAAAUACUGUUACACUGUGGUAUUUGUGAGUCUGUGGGUGCAUUUAUAAAAUGGUAUUUGAUAAAGCAGCUCUGCAAGAGAAAUGUUGAGAUAUUUAAAGAGGCAGGUACCAACUCAGAGAUUGUCUACCUAAACUUUGUAAUUAAAUACAAUUCACUGUAUAAUUACAUUAAUUACCCUAUCAUAUGGGUCACUGAGAAAAAUUAAACAAAUAUCUAAAAUUCCAGAGAAAUAUCAGGAGCAAUUUCAUUUUGGAAAAAGCUCACGGGGAUUUCAGAUCUUACUCACGAGUAAAUUUUACACUAUUGAGCAUGACAAUAUUGCUGACUUUUAUAUUAACAGGGAACGAUUAAUGUCUUGUGACACUACAAAAUUUCAAACCACUAAUAAGUAUUACAAAAUUUUACUUACAUUUUACUUACAAUCUUACAAAACUAUCAGCGUAAAGAAACCAAUUUGUCACUGAUGUCACCUGAGGCAUUACACUUCAACAAUUAUAUAUGACAGUACAGAAACCACAGUGUUGCAAUUGCUUUGCUAAGCAAGGAAUUAUUUUGUAGCUCUCUCUAAGUGAACCAGUUUAGAGACCUGGUAGGUCAUACAGUAAAAAUAAAUAUUCGUAUUUCUUUAAAAGAAAAGGGAGUUGUACAGAUUUAGUUUUGUUUUUCUCCUCACUUUUCCCAUAAUCAAUAUGUGAAUUGGUUCUAUAACAUACAUAUCAAGGGAAGAAAAUCUGUAGAAUCUGCUUGUAAUCUGGCAAACCUUCCCAAUGGUGAACAACCUUGACUCCAUUCAGUUCACCAGGGUGAAGAUGUCACAGAGUGGAAGAGGUCAUCUAACCCAAAACAUGCAGCCAGGCUUGUGCUAUUGCAUGUCUCCCACAUAUUCUAAAAAAUCACAGGAAGAUCCUCCACCAGUAGAAAUGUUCCACUUAUUUAAACAUUUAAAUAAAUUAAUUUGACUUUCAUUUAGAUGACUGUAUUAGGAAAAUGUGGAUUUUGGUUUAGGAGUAAUUUUUUUCUCUGCAGAUUGUAAAAUGAGUAGAGGAUGACUAAAAUGGUUAGAGACAUGUACAGAGAUGAUGCUUACAUUUUGACAUUACACUAUGGGAGCCAAAUACUAAGUUUCCCGAGAAAUUGCCAAAACUCUAUGUCAGCAGAAUGCUUGCCUCCAUGUAGCAACAUAUGUUUGAAAUAAGGUGCGAUUUUUCUGUGUUAAAUGAGCUGCUAAAUUACCAUGAAGUGGGCAAGAAAUGUGACCAGAAUGUCACAGUUAAGUCACUAGUUGCUGAGCAGACUUCCAUGUAGGGAUAUCAGCCCAUGUCAGGUACUGUGAGGUUCCUCUCACUGGAGCCAGGCAGUGCCAAGCAGUUCUCGUUCUCUGGUCAAAUUUGCACUUGGGCCAAGAGGAGCAAUAAGAGCAGAGGCUGCAGCAGCUCCUCACCUCGGUACUUCUCCCUUUUCUGUCACACCCUUCCCCUGCCAGCCUGAUCUAGCUACACUGCCCCCUUGGCAUGCUGUGUCUCCCCAUCUUUCAAAUUUUCCCUUCAACUUCAUUCCCUCAGAAUGGUUGCCUUGGUAAAGUUAUCCAAUUUCCUCUAACCACACAACUCCCUUCGGCUGGUAGGUAAACUGGUUUAAACUGUUUACUUUGGCAAACUGGUGGCCUCUCCUCAUUCUGCAGCAUGGAGAAGGACAUCUAAAAGCUUAGUGCUAGUGAACACUGAAAUAUCUUGCUGGCAACAGGAAUAAGGUAACAGUGGUCACACGGGUUAGUCUGGGCAGGGUCUGGAUGGUUCCUCACCUAUCUCAAGUAUGAGAGUUCAUGGCAGAAGAGGUGGUAAUGAGAAGGAUGAGAAAGAGAAGGGGAUCCUGAGAUUACCUACAUAAAAACUGGAAACCCCUGCUGACUCAUUUUCUAUCUUUUGUGGCAGAACUACAAGGAAAUUAGGUGAAAUUAAAGCCUAAAGGUGAUUUUAAAGUUUCAUAUAAGCAUCUCUUUUCUUUAAACAAGUGACUACUGUUUCUCCUUGUAAAGUCCUCUGAAAAUCAACUGUGAUCUUAUAAGGUCACAAUCUUGAAAAGCUAGACACACAGGAUCUGUAUUCUACACCAGGUUAAAAGCAUGCAAUAUUUUUGGCUGAUGUAAUGCUGGCAUACAACUACACAGAGACAUGGCUGAAAUUUGAUCAAAAGCAGGGCAGGAAAAUGAGAAGGUGUAUGGCUGGAUUUGGUAAUUUAGAAAUCCAGGGUUUAGGUGUGCCUUGAAACACAUUAUAUGAAUUGCAGGCUGUGGUUGAAAUAGAUAUUGUAGUUUGGGCCAUAUGCAUUUAUUCUGCAUUAUGAGACGGAACUGCUUGCUUGCAUCUAAGUAUGUGUUAAUCAUGGAAAUUAAAGGCAAUUAAAUAUGAAACUUCCCAAUUAGUCUCUUACCUAUAUAUUCCAGAU